UAUAUAUUUUUGCAGGCUUCAAGAGGAUCAGCGUGUGAAGAUCACUUUAUAAUGAUUUGAAAAAGGUUGCCAUGGCUGCAGAAAUUGGAGGAGCAUCCUUAGAUGACACAAUACAACCAGCUGUGCGAUUCCUCAUGUCCCAUGAACUGGAAGUCCAGUUCAACCUUUUUGGCCAACAUUGGAAACAAGCUCUUGGACCUGCGUCUCUUUGAUGUUUUGUAUGGGGACUUAAAAGAAAUUAUCCAUCUACAGAAUCACACAAGCAUACAGCAAAGACUCUCGAAGUGGUUUACUGGAGCCCGAGUGGAAGUGGAAAUAGACUAGAGAGACUGCCAGUUCAAACUCAGGUUGGGGAGGUCUUUCAAGAUGGACAGUUUCAGUAAAGUAUGAGAGAUUUCAAAUUUAAGCAUGCAUAUGGCAUGUAGGUUAUUUUUAAAAAUGUUUAACAAAAAUGUAUUGUGAAAGAUCUAUAUAGGUGUGUAUAUUCACAUUGUGUGUAUCAAUGUGAAUAUACGUGUAUAAAGUUAUAUAGAUAGUAUUUAGAUGUAUACAUUUAUAGACCUGUAGGAAAAUAUGUAGGUGUCUUUAUUUGUGUGCAUCUAUAGAUAUAUAUUUAUAGAUCUGUUUAUAAGUUUGUUAUAGUAAACUAGCUUCUGUUAUUUUCAAAGAUGUCGUGAAUAAUUGCAGAUUUCUUUUUGUGGCACCAUUCCCUGAGUAUUAAUGAAGUUCUAAUAAUUGCUGUAGUGAGGUAAAAAAUAACUCCUGACAAUAUUUUAAAUUACUAAAUAAAAGCCUUGAGCAAAAUAAA